UACGAAGGGGGCUAGCGUUGCUCGGAAGGACUGGGCGUAAAGGGCGCGUAGGCGGUUCGUACAGUCAGACGUGAAAUUCCCGGGCUCAACCUGGGGGCUGCGUUUGAUACGUGCGGGCUUGAGUUCGGAAGAGGGUCGUGGAAUUCCCAGUGUAGAGGUGAAAUUCGUAGAUAUUGGGAAGAACACCGGUGGCGAAGGCGGCGACCUGGUCCGAUACUGACGCUGAGGCGCGAAAGCGUGGGGAGCAAGCAGG
rnacentral:rRNA from 1 species